rnacentral:rRNA from 1 species
UACGUAGGGAGCAAGCGUUGUCCGGAAUCAUUGGGCGUAAAGCGCGCGUAGGUGGCCUCAUAAGUCCGCUGUGAAAGCCAAAGGCUCAACCUUUGAAAGCCGGUGGAUACUGUGGGGCUAGAGUGCGGAAGAGGCGAGUGGAAUUCCCGGUGUAGCGGUGAAAUGCGCAGAUAUCGGGAGGAACACCAAUUGCGAAGGCAGCUCGCUGGGACGUGACUGACGCUGAGACGCGAAAGCGUGGGGAGCGAACAGG